rnacentral:lncRNA from 1 species
GCCAAUUUGGAGUUUGUCAGCGACCCCUCUGGAGUCUAAGCCAGGCCUGGCUCUGGGCGGGAGGGAGGCAGAUGUUUCUCUUCUUUCCCGUCUUCCUCUCAAGACCCUCUGGGCUGACCCGGCGCGGGGGCUCACGCCUGUAAUCCCAGCACUUUGGAAAGCGGAGGCGGGCAGAUCACUUGAGCCCGGGAGUUGGAGACCAUCCUGGGCGAAAUGGCAAAACCCUGUCUCUACAAAAAUACAAAAAUCAGCCGGGAGUGGUGGUGUGCGCCUGUGGUCCCAGCUACUCUGGAGACUGAGGUGGAGAAUCGCUUGAACCUGAGAGGCAGAGGUUGCAGUGAACGGAGAUUAUGCCACUGUACUCCAGCCUGAGCAACAGAGCGAGACCCUGUCUCAAACAAACAAACAAACAAAAACCAAAACACAAAACCAAAAAACAAAACACAAACCAAAAAACUGCACUCCAGCCUGAGCGACAGAGCCAG